rnacentral:rRNA from 1 species
UACGUAGGGGGCUAGCGUUGCCCGGAUUUAUUGGGCGUAAAGAGCGUGUAGGCGGCCAGGUAGGUCUGCUGUGAAAACUCGAGGCUCAACCUCGAGACGUCGGCGGAAACCAUCUGGCUAGAGUCCGGAAGAGGAGAGUGGAAUUCCUGGUGUAGCGGUGGAAUGCGCAGAUAUCAGGAAGAACACCCGUGGCGAAGGCGGCUCUCUGGGACGGUACUGACGCUGAGACGCGAAAGCGUGGGGAGCGAACAGG